rnacentral:lncRNA from 1 species
GAGGAAGGUACAAUUGGGCGGAAAAGGUAAUUGACCCUUAAAGCAAUUGCAGCUGAGUCCUCAACACAUCCAGAGCUGGUACAGCCUUCAGAGUUGUCCCUAGUUGAGGGAAGAAGAACCAGCUAUUUACGUCCCUCCAUCCGCAGUCUUAGUGGGGGACCAUCUUAUGAAGGGGUAAUCUUAGACAUGACAUCUUCUAUGGCUUAGAGCAGGGGUCUUGUUGGCCUCACUGUCUCUGUCACAACUACUUCAAUCUGCUGAUGUAGAGCAAAAGCAGCCAUAGACAAUAUGUAAACAAAGGGCAUAGCUGCGUUCCAACGAAACUUUAUGCGCUAAAACAGGUAGCCAACUCAUGGGCCAUAGUCUGCUAACCCAAGGCCUAGAGUUAUUCUCACUGAGAGGCACAGCUCUGAGACAUCAGCAGUUGAUAUUCCCGGAAGCUGGGGGAUGAGUUCUUAACCCUCAAUUGCAGGUUUGGGCAGAGCACCAUAGGUGCGCUGCAGUUCCCGCCUCGCACAUUUCGGAUCUACAUGCUUCUUAUGAAAGAGGAAACUUGGCCACAUGUAGAGGGAAGAUGAUGUGAAGACGCGGGGAGAAGAUGGCCAAGUACAAGCUAAGGAGAGAGACCUGCAACAUCCUUCCCUCACAGCUCUCGGAAGCAAACAACCCCGUUGACAACCUGAUCUCAGAUUUCUAGCCUCCAGAGUGGCGGCGGGACAAUAAGGAUUGAAUCACGGAACCAACAACUAUGGGUUGGAAAUGAAGGACAACAUCAUCUGAAAGCUGAGGAGAUCAUAGCAGAUUAUUUACUACUUAGGCUAUGAGUGGGAAGAAUAGAAAUGUAUGAUAAAAAAAUUACAUAAAGAAAUAUUAGAAGCUUUAGUUACUAUAUGUGCAUAUGCAUAUUAUGCAUACAUGGCAUAUAUUUCUCAUGGUGAUCAAAUACUAAAUAGAUUUCUGAUAUUACAAAAUGACAGUUCACUUAUGGAUAAUUGGAAAGGAAAUGAAAAAAUAAAUGAGAUUCCAUGAAUAUACUGAGAGUAACUUGCAGUCAGAAAUAUAAAUCAGCAUUUAGAUAUAUAUGCCACAAUGCAAUUUCAUUUUCAAUCAGCCAAAAGUAAUUGAUAAAAUUAGUUACAGUAAAAAUGAAAGUUUUUUAAAGAUAAUACCCUUUGUAAUCAUGAUGAAUUAAUAAUCAUUGGAGAUAUCUCCAAGUAAUUAUAAAAAGAUUUCCAUAAUAAAACGAAGCAAAAGUUUUGGUCAAGUUUUAGAAGUAAAAAUGUAUACAGUA